GUUGCUAAACUGUGAUCUCUCAAGGUUUUCUGCCUGUGCUGUCUCAGUCAUAUCCAUCCAGAAUGAAGGAGCUCCAGUGCUUAAUCCAUGUUUGCAAAGCUGCAAAGUGGACUUUUUGCUGGAACCUGAGCUAUGGAGUGCCCAGUCAUGUGGAUCUCCUUCAGGAGAAGUCAUCACAAAAUUUUCAGGAUCAGAUUUCCUGCAUCAUUUCCACUGCUCAAAGCCAGAACAGAGUCCUGAAAGGAUGCUAACAUUUUCAUACUGGCUAGAAAUCUGUUUAACAAAAAUUUUUGCAACAAAUGAAUAAAUAUAAGGGCAGAAACCUCAGCUGCUAUUCUGGUCCUUGAUAAAGGAAUGGCUCAGCUGCAGAGCUGGAAUGAGACAGACAGCAAAGCAUGUCUUCUCUGACUUGAACAUGAUCAGAACUGAGUCCCAGCACCUCAGCUGACACCUUACCAAGCACUUUAUGUAUCUCCUUGUCUCCUCACAAAAGAAUGGUACUGUGACUCCAAAUCUUCUCUUUCUCCACCAUUAAAAACUGCAGGCACCUUUUCCCAGUCUUAGCAUAAGUAAUGGAACCAAACUUCUUCAUAUGGUUUUAAUUUGAUUUUUUUUUUCCUUAGCAUUUUUCUUACUGAUAGUCAUGCAAGUUCUCUUCAGCUAAUUUGGGAUUAUAAAAAAUGACUAGGGGUUCAAAGUAUGCUUAUAAUUACAAGGAAUAUAUUUUUCUUUCCCAAAAUGUUGCCUAUUAUCAACUAACCUUGUUUCUGAAUUAUUCCUGCAAU